rnacentral:rRNA from 1 species
GGAUGCGAUCAUACCAGCACUAAAGCACCGAAUUCCAUCAAAACUCCCAAGUUAAGCGUGCUUGGGCGAGAGUAGUCCUCGUGUUGCAUUCC